rnacentral:rRNA from 1 species
UGCAGUCGAGCGAACAGAUGAGAAGCUUGCUUCUCUGAUGUUAGCGGCGGACGGGUGAGUAACACGUGGGUAACCUACCUAUAAGACUGGGAUAACUCCGGGAAACCGGGGCUAAUACCUGAUAAUAUUUUGAACCGCAUGGUUCAAUAGUGAAAGACGGCUUCGGCUGUCACUUAUAGAUGGACCCGCGCCGUAUUAGCUAGUUGGUAAGGUAAUGGCUUACCAAGGCAACGAUACGUAGCCGACCUGAGAGGGUGAUCGGCCACACUGGAACUGAGACACGGUCCAGACUCCUACGGGAGGCAGCAGUAGGGAAUCUUCCGCAAUGGGCGAAAGCCUGACGGAGCAACGCCGCGUGAGUGAUGAAGGUCUUAGGAUCGUAAAACUCUGUUGUUAGGGAAGAACAAAUUUGUUAGUAACUGAACAAGUCUUGACGGUACCUAACCAGAAAGCCACGGCUAACUACGUGCCAGCAGCCGCGGUAAUACGUAGGUGGCAAGCGUUAUCCGGAAUUAUUGGGCGUAAAGCGCGCGUAGGCGGUUUCUUAAGUCUGAUGUGAAAGUCCACGGCUCAACCGUGGAAGGUCAUUGGAAACUGGGGAACUUGAGUGCAGAAGAGGAGAGUGGAAUUCCAUGUGUAGCGGUGAAAUGCGCAGAGAUAUGGAGGAACACCAGUGGCGAAGGCGGCUCUCUGGUCUGUAACUGACGCUGAUGUGCGAAAGCGUGGGGAUCAAACAGGAUUAGAUACCCUGGUAGUCCACGCCGUACACGAUGAGUGCUAAGUGUUA